CUCUCCUCCAGAGGGAUUCACACUGGAGCUGAUGUCGCUGGUUGCCUGGAUAUCGUUAUGGUAACCCUGGCUGUAGGCCUUUCUUGGCUCUUUUAGGUAUUGAAGCGGCUUUGCCCUGAGGGGGGGCGGAUGCGCUGCGCAUUCAGUGGAAAGACCUCGGCUUCAUUCACAAAAACACGGGUUAUGGUAUCAAGUGAGCAGUUUGGUGCUUUUGGAUGCGGAGCCAGCAGCAGAGCGGGUUACAGCCGGUCAAAGUGAAUCCCCCAGAGAGAGCUAAGGAAAUCCUUGAAGGUUACCCUGGAGGAUGAAGAGAGAAGGUCAUCCAAAAAGGCAACAACGAACCACACCACCACAGAGCCAAGUCCUCUCAAUACAAGGUGCUACUGGUCAAGAGCCAACAAUGGGCAUAAAGGAGGUAUCGCUUUUGUUUCCUGGCUCUGGAUGUAUUUGUCAAGGUCAGACGAGCGCGAGCCAGGAGGAUAAAGGUCAGUAGCAUGAAUAGACGAGCAGUUACAGAUGCCUGAUUGCAAAUGUAUUCUGCCCCCCCCCCCCCCCCCCCCCCCCGACGACAAGGUGCAGAUAACCUAAUCUCAGACACUGACACAAACAAAGAUAAAUCUGUAUGAAAAGGAAACGCAAAGCAUGAACAGUGAAAUAAAGCA
rnacentral:lncRNA from 1 species